rnacentral:lncRNA from 1 species
AUGCAUAUCGCAUGUUUAUUGCAGACCUCACCAAAAAACCCAAAAAGAAUCAGCUGUGAGUUGGAAGAGAUAACUAAGAGGAGAGGAGCUGAGAGUCAAACCUCACCGAAAAACCCAAAAUUUGUUACACAAUCCCAAGACAAACUGAGAAAAAUUUGUUGCACAAUCCCAAAAUUUUAUAAACAAGUUUCAAGCAUCAUAUUCCUCAGAAAGUUCUUGUAUAAUCACACUGAAAUAACAUUCUCUACACAAGCUGAAAAUAUUAAUUGUAAAUCCAGAGAGUAA